rnacentral:rRNA from 1 species
AACGAACGCUGGCGGCGUGCCUAACACAUGCAAGUCGUGCGAGAAAGUUCCUUCGGGAGCGAGUAAAGCGGCGCACGGGUGAGUAACACGUAGGUAACCUGCCCCCCAGUCUGGAACAACUAGAGGAAACUCUAGCUAAUGCCGGAUGAGACCACGAUCCCUUCGGGGGUUGCGGCCAAAGAUGGCCUCUACUUGUAAGCUAUCGCUGAGGGAUGGGCCUGCGGCCAUUAGCUUGUUGGUGAGGUAACGGCUCACCAAGGCUGUGAUGGCUAGCUGGUCUGAGAGGAUGACCAGCCACACUGGGACUGAGACACGGCCCAGACUCCUACGGGAGGCAGCAGUGGGAAUAUUGCGCAAUGGGCGAAAGCCUGACGCAGCGACGCCGCGUGGGUGAUGAAGGCCUGGUCGUAAGACCUGUCGCAGGGAAGGAAGUAAAGACGAU